rnacentral:tRNA from 1 species
GCCUAGCUGGCUCAGUCGGUAGAGCAUAUGACUCUUGAUCUCAAGGUCAUGAGUUCAAGCACCAAGCUGGGCA